AGCGAACGCUGGCGGCAGGCUUUACACAUGCAAGUCGAACGCCCCUUCGGGGGAGUGGCAGACGGGUGAGUAACGCGUGGGAAUUUGCCUUUUGGUGGGGAAUAACGCAGGGAAACUUGCGCUAAUACCGCAUAAGCCCGUGAGGGGAAAGAUUUAUCGCCAAAAGAUAAGCCCGCGUCUGAUUAGCUAGUUGGUGAGGUAAUGGCUCACCAAGGCGACGAUAAGUAGCUGGUCUGAGAGGAUGACCAGCCACACUGGGACUGAGACACGGCCCAGACUCCUACGGGAGGCAGCAGUGGGGAAUAUUGGACAAUGGGCGCAAGCCUGAUCCAGCCAUGCCGCGUGAGUGAUGAAGGCCUUAGGGUUGUAAAGCUCUUUUGUGUGGGAAGAUAAUGACUGUACCACAAGAAUAAGUCCCGGCUAACUUCGUGCCAGCCGCCGCGGUAA
rnacentral:rRNA from 1 species